rnacentral:rRNA from 1 species
GACGAACGCUGGCGGCGUGCCUAAUACAUGCAAGUAGAACGCUGAAGAGAGGAGCUUGCUCUUCUUGGAUGAGUUGCGAACGGGUGAGUAACGCGUAGGUAACCUGCCUGGUAGCGGGGGAUAACUAUUGGAAACGAUAGCUAAUACCGCAUAAAAUUGAUUAUCGCAUGAUAAUUAAUUGAAAGGUGCAAAUGCAUCACUACCAGAUGGACCUGCGUUGUAUUAGCUAGUUGGUGGGGUAACGGCUCACCAAGGCGACGAUACAUAGCCGACCUGAGAGGGUGAUCGGCCACACUGGGACUGAGACACGGGCCCAGACUCCUACGGGAGGCAGCAGUAGGGAAUCUUUCGGCAAUGGACGGAAGUCUGACCGAGCAACCGCCGCG